GACGAACGCUGGCGGCGUGCUUAACACAUGCAAGUCGAACGAGGAGAGAUGAGAAGCUUGCUUCUUAUUAAUUCGAGUGGCAAACGGGUGAGUAACGCGUAAGCAACCUGCCCUUCAGAUGGGGACAACAGCUGGAAACGGCUGCUAAUACCGAAUACGUUCUUUUGUCGCAUGGCAGAGGGAAGAAAGGGAGGCUCUUCGGAGCUUUCGCUGAAGGAGGGGCUUGCGUCUGAUUAGCUAGUUGGAGGGGUAACGGCCCACCAAGGCGACGAUCAGUAGCCGGUACUGAGAGGAUGAACGGCCACAUUGGGACUGAGACACGGCCCAGACUCCUAC
rnacentral:rRNA from 1 species